rnacentral:lncRNA from 1 species
UGGUACACUAUAUCGGAUUUGAAAGAAUCAACUCUUUGCAGUUUUCCAUUCUUUUUGUACCACUUAAAAAUGGCCAUAAAGCAAGUUGAGAAUUGAAAAACCAGUAAGCACCAAGGCCAUUGUGACAAAAUAUUACCAAACAUGGUUGAUACAUGAGAAGGUUGACAAGAAAGGAGAAACCUAUGAUAAAUAAGCAUUUUGACUUGAGUAGGUUUAGGUUGGUGCUAAACUUGAUUGACGGGUAAGUAUUUGAGGACCAAUA